rnacentral:rRNA from 1 species
UGGGGAAUAUUGCACAAUGGGCGAAAGCCUGAUGCAGCGACGCCGCGUGAGGGAUGACGGCCUUCGGGUUGUAAACCUCUUUCAGCAGGGACGAAGCGCAAGUGACGGUACCUGCAGAAGAAGCACCGGCUAACUACGUGCCAGCAGCCGCGGUAAUACGUAGGGUGCAAGCGUUGUCCGGAAUUACUGGGCGUAAAGAGUUCGUAGGCGGUUUGUCGCGUCGUUUGUGAAAACCAGCAGCUCAACUGCUGGCUUGCAGGCGAUACGGGCAGACUUGAGUACUGCAGGGGAGACUGGAAUUCCUGGUGUAGCGGUGAAAUGCGCAGAUAUCAGGAGGAACACCAGUGGCGAAGGCGGGUCUCUGGGCAGUAACUGACGCUGAGGAACGAAAGCGUGGGUAGCGAACAGG